rnacentral:rRNA from 1 species
CUUCAGUAACGGCGAGCGAAGCAGGCAUAGCUCAAAUUUGUAAUCUGGCGUCUUUGACGUCCGAGUUGUAUUUUCUAGAAGCGAGUUCGGCGACAGCUCCUACCCAAGUCCGUUGGAACGCGGCGUCAUGGAGGGUGAGAAUCCCGUGAAUGGUAGGAUGUCUGCUGCUAUGUGAACCGCCUUCGAAGAGUCGAGUUGUUUGGGAAUGCAGCUCUAAAUGGGAGGUAAAUUUCUUCUAAAGCUAAAUAUUGGCCAGAGACCGAUAGCGAACAAGUAGAGUGAUCGAAAGAUGAAAAGAACUUUGAAAAGAGAGUUAAACAGUACGUGAAAUUGUUGAAAGGGAAGCGCUUGAGAUCAGACUUCCUGUCUGGACUGUCCUUGCUUUUUGCUUGGGUCAACAGUCCAGGCGUGGAGGCCAGCAUCAGUUUUGACGGCCGGAUAAAGGCUUUGGGAAGGUAGCUCCUCUCGGGGAGUGUUAUAGCCCAGAGUGUAAUACGGCCAGUUGGGACUGAGGACCGCGGCUUUGCCUAGGAUGCUGGCGUAAUGGUCUUAAGCGACCCGU